rnacentral:rRNA from 1 species
CCCUUAGAUGUUCUGGGCCGCACGCGCGCUACACUGACGAAGUCAGCGAGCAUGUCCUACGCCGACAGGUGCGGGGAAUCUUGUCAAACUUCGUCGUGAUGGGGAUUGAUUUUUGAAAUUCUUGAUCAUAAACGAGGAAUUCCUAGUAAGCGCAAGUCAGCAGCUUGCGUUGAUUACGUCCCUGCCCUUUGUACACACCGCCCGUCGCUACUACCGAUUGAAUGGUUUAGUGAGAUCUUCGGAUUGGCGCCACUGCAGCUCAGCAAUGGGCUUGGUGGAUGCCGAAAAGUUGAUCAGACUUGAUCAUUUAGAGGAAGUAAAAGUCGUAACA